rnacentral:rRNA from 1 species
UACCUCAGUAACGGCGAGUGAAGCGGUAACAGCUCAAAUUUGAAAUCUGGGUCUUUCAGGCUCCGAGUUGUAAUUUGUAGAAGAUGCUUUGGGUGCGGCCCCGGUCUAAGUUCCUUGGAACAGGACGUCAUAGAGGGUGAGAAUCCCGUAUGUGAUCGGUGGCCUGCGCCCGUGUAAAGCUCUUUCGACGAGUCGGGUUGUUUGGGAAUGCAGCUCUAAAUGGGUGGUAAAUUUCAUCUAAAGCUAAAUACUGGCCAGAGACCGAUAGCGCACAAGUAGAGUGAUCGAAAGAUGAAAAGGACUUUGGAAAGAGAGUUAAACAGUACGUGAAAUUGUUGAAAGGGAAGCGCUUGCAACCAGACUUGCGCGGGGUUGAUCAUCCGGGGUUCUCCCCGGUGCACUCGGCCUCGCUCAGGCCAGCAUCGGUUUCGGUGGUUGGAUAAAGGCCUUGGGAAUGUGGCUCCUCUCGGGGAGUGUUAUAGCCCUCGGUGCAAUGCAGCCUACUGGGACCGAGGACCGCGCUUCGGCUAGGAUGCUGGCGUAAUGGUUGUAAGCGACCCGUCUUGAAACACGGACCAAGGAGUCUAACAUCUAUGCGAGUGUUUGGGUGUCAAACCCAUACGCGUAAUGAAAGUGAACGGAGGUGAGAACCCUUAAGGGUGCAUCAUCGACCGAUCCUGAUGUCUUCGGAUGGAUUUGAGUAGGAGCAUAGCUGUUGGGACCCGAAAGAUGGUGAACUAUGCCUGAAUAGGGUGAAGCCAGAGGAAACUCUGGUGGAGGCUCGCAGCGGUUCUGACGUGCAAAUCGAUCGUCAAAUUUGGGUAUAGGGGCGAAAGACUAAUCGAACCAUCUAGUAGCUGGUU